rnacentral:rRNA from 1 species
GAUGAACGCUGGCGGCGUGCCUAAUACAUGCAAGUCGAGCGAACAGACGAGAAGCUUGCUCCUCUGACGUUAGCGGCGGACGGGUGAGUAACACGUGGAUAACCUACCUAUAAGACUGGGAUAACUUCGGGAAACCGGAGCUAAUACCGGAUAAUAUUUUGAACCGCAUGGUUCAAUAGUGAAAGACGGUUUUGCUGUCACUUAUAGAUGGAUCCGCGCCGCAUUAGCUAGUUGGUAAGGUAACGGCUUACCAAGGCAACGAUGCGUAGCCGACCUGAGAGGGGGAUCGCCAACACUGAAACUGGGACACGGUCCAGACCCCUACGGGAGGCAGCAGUAGGGAAUCUUCCGCAAUGGGCGAAAGCUUGACGGAGCAACGCGGCGUGAGUGAUAAGGUCUUCGGAUCGUAAAACUCUGUUAUUAGGGAAGAACAAAUGUGUAAGUAACUAUGCACGUCUUGACGGUACCUAAUCAGAAAGCCACGGCUAACUACGUG